UACAGAGGCCCCAAGCGUUGUCCGGAAUUAUUGGGCGUAAAGCGUCCGCAGGCGGCCUGUUACAUCUUCGAUUAAAUCCCACCGCUCAACGGUGGAUCUGUCGAAGACAUGGGCAGGCUCGAGGGACGGAGAGGUUAGCGGAACUCCUGGUGGAGCGGUGAAAUGCGUUGAUAUCAGGGGGAACACCAAUUGCGAAGGCAGCUAACUGGCCGUUUCCUGACGCUCAGGGACGACAGCGUAGGGAGUGAACGGG
rnacentral:rRNA from 1 species